GUCAUCUGGUGGUUGGCGGUGGCAUGCCUGCUGGUCAUGGGGAGACUCGCCCGCCUACCUGCUGAUUGCGGAUGGGCUUCACCUGGGUGGAAGGGCAUACAAGCCGGGCUGCCAGAGUUUUCAGGGGGUUCCUCGGGACAGAUUGGACUUAUCUCCCUCCACUCUUACAUUUUUUUGGUGGUUCUGAAAUAAACUAAAACCUAAGCAAGUUGACUGUGUGGACCUCCAUUUUGAAUGUUAGGGCCUACACGAGCUGGCCGUAACAAAUGGAGGCUCGUCCAAAGGAAAAAAAACAAAUCUCGGCAAACUUGGAGAAGCCCUUUAAACUUCAGGUGGACGCAAGUGGAGUUGGUGCAGGAGCUGUACUGUUGCAAGAAGGGAAGGGGGCUAUUGAUCAUCCAGUCUGCUUAUAUUGGGGUAUUAUCGGGGGUUUUGCCCAAAUUUUGCAACUGUGGUGGCCCCAUUGACAGACCUUUUGAGUAAGAGGACAGUUUUUGUGUGGUCUCCCAAAUGUGAGGAUGCUUUUGUUACGGUGAAAUCCUUGCUCUGUUGUUCUCCUGUGCUUGCAGCGGCAAACUUGGAGAAGCCCUUUAAACUUCAGGUGGACGCAAGUGGAGUUGGUGCAGGAGCUGUACUGUUGCAAGAAGGGAAGGGGGCUAUUGAUCAUCCAGUCUGCUUCUUCUCCCGGUUUGGCGUCAUCUGGUGGUUGGCGGUGGCAUGCCUGCUGGUCGUGGGGAGACUCGCCCGCCUACCUGCUGAUUGCGGACGGGCUUCACCUGGGUGGAAGGGCAUACAAGCCGGGCUGCUAGAGUUUUCAGGGGGUUUCUCGGGACAGAUUGGACUUAUCUCCCUCCACUCUUGCAUUUUUUUUGGUGGUUCUGAAAUAAACUAAAACCUAAGCAAGUUGACUGUGUGGACCUCCAUUUUGAAUGUUAGGGCCUACACGAGCUGGCCAUAACAUACAUGUUUUGGGGAGCUCUGAGACUUAUUUAGAUUUGUUGAAAAGGAGGAUAAUAUGUGACCUUUAAAUAUUUAAGAUGCAACUUAUGUUUAUUCUCCUUCAAUUAAAAAGGUGCCUUGUACUGCAUGUAUGUAUGUUCUGAGAUUUUCGGGUUACCAAAGUAAAUACAAAUCUUCAAAAUGAA